rnacentral:lncRNA from 12 species
UAUCCCUCCGGCAAGCUGUCUUCCUCAACGCCUUGCAGCGGCCGCCCGAGCAGGCUCUCCGGGGAGCGGGGAGCGGGGAGCGGGGCAGGCGCGCUGCGGGCCCCGCACACCCGGUGCCCCCGGGGCGCCGUCCCGAGGCGCUCCCCCGGCGCGUGUGGACGAGCAGCGCCGCGGAGGACCCCCGGCUGCCGCCCCCGAGGGCACCAACGUCGGGACCUGCAGCCCGAGGCCGAGCCCAGGGCCGGCGGCGGAGAGCGCGCCCGGGAGGCGGCGCCGAGACCCGGGGCGCCGAGGCCCGGCCCGGCCCCGCUCUCAGGUCCCGGGACCCCGCGCCCCGGCCCCGCCCCGCCCGCCCCCCGCACUCGCCCGGGGCGCCGGACAGCGCGACGAGCCCCCUCCCCGGAGCCCGACAGCCCAGCCCCGCCGCGCCCCGCCGCCGUCCCGGGGCGCCCCCCCGGCCACUCACCGCCGGCCCGGGCGCUGGCAGGAGGCGGGAGCGGGUGGGCGGCCGCGGACCCCGGGCUCCAGCCCCUGCUCGGAGCCGACCGAGGCUCGGCAGCUGUGCCUGCAAGGCCUCUCUCCGGCCCGAGCCUGGGAGAAGCACUUCCGGGGAAGCGGGGGAGGGACGAGUCUUGGCACCGGAACUGCUCCCGCGCUGAGCUGCCAGCGCCUCCCGGGCGGGGCGGGGGCGGGGCCUGCGGGGGCGGGGCCUGCGGGGGGGCGGGGCGGGGCUUGCGGGCGGGGGCGGGGGCGGGGCCGAGCGCGCUAAGCCCGCCCCCAGGCUGGUCGCUCACCCUUUCCGACGCCGAGGCCCCUCGGAAGCCCCGGGAGGCGCCUGCGCCCCUCGCUGCGCUUCGCACUUGGUCCGCUGCAGCCGCCUAUUUUCACGCGCCACGAGGCCGAGGAUGGGAGCAUUUGGGUGCGGGGGUCGGGCGUGCACACUUACACAGCCGGCCUCCAGACUCCUUUCCUUUUUUUUUUUUUUUUAAGAUUUUAUUUAUUUAUUCAUGA